rnacentral:tRNA from 1 species
UAGGGUAUAGCUCAAUGGUAGAGCAAUCACCUAGCACGCAGGAGGUCCUGGGUUCAAUCCCCAGCACCACAA